UACGUAGGGUGCAAGCGUUGUCCGGAAUUAUUGGGCGUAAAGAGCUCGUAGGCGGUCUGUCGCGUCUGCUGUGAAAACUCGGGGCUUAACCCCGGGCCUGCAGUGGGUACGGGCAGAACUAGAGUGCGGUAGGGGAGACUGGAAUCCUGGUGUAGCGGUGAAAUGCGCAGAUAUCAGGAGGACACCGAUGGCGAAGGCAGGUCUCUGGGCCACUACUGCGUGGAGAAGCGAAAGCUGGGGAGCGAACAGGG
rnacentral:rRNA from 1 species